UAGCUCAGAGGUUAAGAGCACUGGCUGCUCUUCCAGAGGUCCUGAGUUCAAUUCUCAG
rfam:Cricetulus griseus cell line CHO-K1, whole genome shotgun sequence.